AGGAGUUAAAGGAGGAGAAUCAAGCAAAGGCAAAGAAAAGAUCAUCGAGUAGCCGAGUUGGAACCGUCUUACCCAACACAAAGUAAGUCAUUAAGCAUAUAGUUUGUAUUAAUUUAAAUGGUCAUAACGUCUAUGUAAUGAUGCUGAAUGGAAUGAUAAAUAUAUAUAUACAUGUAUGCAUGUGGUGAUGAAAGUGUUGAAUGAAAAGAAAAGAGGUGAGAUGUAUUGAGUUGUUGAUCUCGGCACUAAGUGUGUGGGUAUAAACAUUUAUGAUCAUGAGAUUGGCACUAAGUGUGCGGGUUUAAAUUGUACAGCACUAAGUGUGCGAGUUUGAUUAUAUAGCACUAAGUGUGCGAGUUGAUUAUAUAGCACUGAGUGUGCGGACUUAAUAUAUACUUUUGAAUCACUAUGGACACUAAGUGUGCGACAUUAUUGAGUUGAUCACGGACAGCGGAUCGGGUAAGUACCUUGAGUUCAUGGCUAAUAGGCGCUAUGUUUAUAUUUGGAAUUGAGCUUGGUAAGUUUGAACCUAUGUGACAAUUAUAAUUGAAGUCACGUACAUAAGAUUUAUCGUGGAAUAGGUGAAAGGUCGUUUAGUUGUAUGAUUGUAACGAAAAUACAAUGAUGUAUGAAAAUGCCUCAAAUAUCCUAUUGAUUAGUAUAUGGAAUGUGAAUGCAUGACUUGGUAUGAGAUUGAACCGAUAGGUCUAAGGAACUAUGGUAUGGUUCGGUAUGGAUGGAGUAACUAGCCUCGUUCCAUUUUGUUUCCUCUUGUGAUAAUGUUAUUAAUGGAUGGUAGUGCAUUGCUUAUGACUUACUGAGUUAUAUACUCACUCGGUGUUUCCUUGUCACCUAUUUUAGGUUUCUUGGACUCAUCUCUUUUUGCGUGAUCGGGCCGUCAUCGAAGUCAUCACACCGGCUAGCAACUUUUGGUAUCUUCUUUUUAGUCGGUCUAGGAGAACAUUUCGGCAUGUAUAGGCUAAUAUGUUUUGUUGAAAUUUGGUAUGUAAACUUUUAGCCAUGCGAAAAUGGCAUAAAUGUUCGGUUGGAUUUGGUUCUAUAAUGUUAGGUCGUAAGUCUUGGAAAUUCGAUUUUUA
rnacentral:lncRNA from 1 species